rnacentral:rRNA from 1 species
GACGAACGCUGGCGGCGUGCUUAACACAUGCAAGUCGAACGGAAAGGCCCCUUUGGGGGUACUCGAGUGGCGAACGGGUGCGUAACACGUGAGUAACCUGCCCUUGACUUCGGGAUAACUUCAGGAAACUGGGGCUAAUACCGGAUAGGAAUCCUUGCUGCAUGGUGGGGGUUGGAAAGCUUCGGCGGUUUUGGAUGGACUCGCGGCUUAUCAGCUUGUUGGUGGGGUAGUGGCUUACCAAGGCUUUGACGGGUAGCCGGCCUGAGAGGGCGACCGGCCACAUUGGGACUGAGAUACGGCCCAGACUCCUACGGGAGGCAGCAGUGGGGAAUAUUGCACAAUGGGCGGAAGCCUGAUGCAGCAACGCCGCGUGCGGGAUGACGGCCUUCGGGUUGUAAACCGCUUUCAGCAGGGGCGAAGCUUGUGGUGACGGUACCUACAGAAGAAGCACCGGCUAACUACGUG